CAGGUUUUUCCCUUCCCUAGGCUCUACUUUUGAGGGGAAAAAAACAAAUGAAGCUUACUUUUUUAUUUUUUUUUUAUUUUUAAAACAUUGAACACCCCUUUUUGAAAAAAAAAAAAAAUUACCCAUCAUCUCUCUUAUUUUCCUUAAAGAAAAACAGAGAGAAAGCUCUCAAAUUUUCUCUUAGGCCUGUGCCACCCUCAUCGGAGAUCCGGCUAGCCGAGGUCGUGAGUUCGUCGGUAAGUCCCCUCUCUCCCUCUCUUGUUUUUUUAAAAAAAACCGUUUUAAAAAAAUUUGAAAAGGAAACAGAACAAACGAAGUCCAAAUCAAGAGAAAAUUCGAAAAGAGAAAAAAAAAUGAAAAAUCACCUUUCAAAACUUAGUUCCGAUUCUUGAUUUACUCUUGAACUUUGUAUUAUCUCCGAAAAAAAAUAUAUAUAUCCCCCCAAAAUACAAUCGAUUCCUCUCUAAAAAUCCCCCCUAAAAUACAAUCCCUUCUCCCAUCGAAAUAUCAAAAAAUCCCCCCUGUUACAAAUGAUAGAUUUCGGCUUUUAAAGCCAAUAUAUUUUUUUCGUUCCUUUUGUUUAUUACUUCCCCCAUCAUUCGCAUGCUUUCUUUGCUGUUGUGUUUGUUCUUGUUGCAGGUGGUGGGCACGGUGGAGUGUCAGACGCGUGGGGCGUGGUGGCCAAGGCUGAGGGGCAUGGUGGCCGACAUGGUGGCAUGGAGAGCUGGAGGUGUGGCAGAUGAGGAGGCCAGCGGCACACAUGCUUAGGGGAGGCAAAUAGGGUUUGCUUCUGCCGAAAAUGUUAAAGUCAUAUGGGCUAGGGUUUUUUAAUUUUGGGCCCAUUUGUGAUUGGGUUAUUAUUUGUAUUUUAUGGACUAUUUGUGUUUGGAUUUUGGGCUUCCGAGUUUUGGGCCCCGGGCAAAAUUGGGUUUCUACAGUAUAAUAAUUAAAUAGUUUCGAAUUCCACUAAAAAAUGAUUGUAUUGAUUUUUAUUUUUGAUUUUUAAUUAAAUAGUAUUUAUUAUUAUUUUUUAUUUUCUAUUUUUAAAUUGAUUGUAUUGAUUUUUUUUUGAAUUUUUUUAUCUUAUACGUAUACUGGUG
rnacentral:lncRNA from 1 species